ACUUAUCUAUAGCUAAGUCGUGCUGGAACAUUUUGGCUUAUAUAUACACCUAUGUAAUGUGGUUAGUUAUGUCAGUCACGUUUGUUCUUCGUUGUUCCUUGCUUCUUGGGUAAGGUGGAGAGCAUUGUGGGUAAGGAUCUAGCAUAGAGCAUAUAUGAAGGGAGAAAGACAUCUUCAGAAUUUUGACAACAAAUGUAAAUUUUGAGAUCCUACACUCUUCCAGCACCAGUUGUAUGGGUUGUUCAGUGAUCCCUGAAAAGUACAGAAUCAUUUUGGGAUCUUCCCAUGUUCCACUUAGGUGGCAGAGGAAGAACUUUUAUUCUCUGUGUCAUACAUCAUAGACUGAAAUCUCCCAAGUCUAGAUCCCAAAUCCAGUACAUAUGUCAUGGCUGGUGUAAAAAGAUACAACUCCACUUCUGCUUUAAACCACUGCUGACCUCUUGUUCAAAAUACCAUAUGGUACCAUAAUAUUUGGUGGUGUCACAGUGCUUCCCCACUGUAUUCCCAAAGAAGCUGUGGAUGCCCCAUCCCUGGAGGUGCUCAAGGCCAGGCUGGAUGGGGCUUUGGGCAACCUGGUCUGGUGGGAGGUGUCCCUGCCCGUGGCAGGGGGAUGGGACUGGGUGGGCUUUAAGGUCCCUUCCAACCCAAACAAUUCUGUGAUCUGUAUUUGAUACAUUAUCAGCUGGGACUGAUAAUGUGUGCUGUAAUAUUAAACAGGAAACCUCUCAGAGUGAGGGACAGUUUGGUUUUAAAACAGUUAUUACGUGCCAGAUGUAUUUAUUUCAGCACGCUCUUCAAGCUCCUGCUGCAUGCUAUGUCCUCCCUGCCUGCAGCCAGCACGCUGUGCGCAGGAUAAAUAAUGGUUGCUGUGUGGGGAGGAAUGACAUCCUCUUAUGACAGACAAAUGAGGGCUGUAGAAGGAAGUCUAAGUAGCUUGUGGGUUUUUAUAUUGGUAUAAAACAUCCAUGCUGGUUUGUACUGAUAAAACAUUCAUAAACAACUGCAUUCAAACAAAAGUAAUGUCAUGCUCUGAAGGUAUGUGAACAUCUAAGCCUUGAAUGAAACAGGCUUGAAUAAUCAGAAAACUGUGCUGUUAGUAUAGGCCUAUCUUAGCACAUUUUACUUACUGACAUCAGGAUCUUUAUUGUGCUAGAAAUCUAAAUACAAUGUUGAGGUCUGUAUGAAACAGAAACAUCGAAGUUUAUAUCAUAAUAUUAUCCCGUCCAAAGAUAGAAUAAAGUACCUACUCCACCCUAGCUUUGAAAAGAGAAUUUCCUAGACCCCUUGAAUUUAUUUUUGACGAAAUAGAGAUUUUAACAACAGGAUAAAAAGGCCUUCCCGCUUCCUUUUUUUUUUCCUAAUUCAUUUGUAAAUAAUAUCCACCUUGCCAAGACUCGUGUGUGUAUUUCAAUAAUACUGCAACACCAAAUAUUCAGGAGCUGUGGAGUGCUAUAAUCUCAGAUGAGGGUUUAUACAACUUUUCCUUAUC